rnacentral:rRNA from 1 species
GACGAACGCUGGCGGCGUGCCUAAUACAUGCAAGUCGAGCGAAGUUUUUCUGGUGCUUGCACCGGAAAAACUUAGCGGCGAACGGGUGAGUCACACGUAAAGAACCUGCCUCAUAGACUGGGACCACUAUUGGAAACGAUAGCUAAUACCGGAUAACAGCAUUAACUGCAUGGUUGAUGUUUAAAAGUUGGUUUUGCUAACACUAUGAGAUGGCUUUGCGGUGCAUUAGCUAGUUGGUGGGGUAAAGGCCUACCAAGGCGACGAUGCAUAGCCGACCUGAGAGGGUGAUCGGCCACACUGGGACUGAGACACGGCCCAGACUCCUACGGGAGGCAGCAGUAGGGAAUCUUCCGCAAUGGGCGAAAGCCUGACGGAGCAACGCCGCGUGAGUGAAGAAGGAUUUCGGUUCGUAAAGCCCUGUUGUUAGGGAAGAAUGAUUGUGUAGUAACUAUACACAGUAGAGACGGUACCUAACCAGAAAGCCACGGCUAACUACGUG